GUGCUCGCUUCAGCACCACAUAUACUAAAAUAGGAAUGACACAGAGAAGAUUACAUGGUCCCUGCACAAGGAUGACACAAAUUCUGGAAGCAUUCCAUAUUUAA